GUGCCAGCCGCCGCGGUAAGACGUAGGGCGCAAGCGUUGUCCGGAUUUAUUGGGCGUAAAGAGCUCGUAGGCGGCUUGUCGCGUCGACUGUGAAAACCCGCGGCUUAACUGUGGGACUGCAGUCGAUACGGGCUAGCUAGAGUUCGGUAGGGGAGACUGGAAUUCCUGGUGUAGCGGUGAAAUGCGCAGAUAUCAGGAGGAACACCGGUGGCGAAGGCGGGUCUCUGGGCCGAUACUGACGCUGAGGAGCGAAAGCGUGGGGAGCGAACAGGAUUAGAAACCCCUGUAGUCC
rnacentral:rRNA from 1 species